rnacentral:rRNA from 1 species
AACGAACGCUGGCGGCAUGCCUAACACAUGCAAGUCGAACGAGACCUUCGGGUCUAGUGGCGCACGGGUGCGUAACGCGUGGGAAUCUGCCCUUGGGUUCGGAACAACAGUUGGAAACGACUGCUAAUACCGGAUGAUGACUUCGGUCCAAAGAUUUAUCGCCCAAGGAUGAGCCCGCGUAGGAUUAGCUUGUUGGUGAGAUAAAAGCUCACCAAGGCGACGAUCCGUAGCUGGUCUGAGAGGAUGAUCAGCCACACGGGGACUGAGACACGGCCCAGACUCCUACGGGAGGCAGCAGUGGGGAAUAUUGGACAAUGGGCGAAAGCCUGAUCCAGCAAUGCCGCGUGAGUGAUGAAGGCCUUAGGGUUGUAGAGCUCUUUUACCCGGGAUGAUAAUGACAGUACCGGGAGAAUAAGCCCCGGCUAACUCCGUGCCAGCCGCCGCAGUAA